rnacentral:rRNA from 1 species
CCUACGGGCGGCAGCAGUGAGGAAUAUUGGUCAAUGGACGCAAGUCUGAACCAGCCAUGCCGCGUGCAGGAAGACGGCUCUAUGAGUUGUAAACUGCUUUUGUACGAGGGUAAACGCAGAUACGUGUAUUUGUCUGAAAGCAUCGUACGAAUAAGGAUCGGCAAACUCCGUGCCAGAAGCCGCGGUAAUACGGGGAUUCAAGCGUUAUCCGGAUUUAUUGGGUGUAAAGGGUGCGUAGGUGGUCGGAUAAGUUAGAGGUGAAAUCCCGAGGCUCAACAUCGGAAUUGCCUCUGAUACUGUUCGGCUAGAGAGUAGUUGCGGUAGGCGGAAUGUAUGGUGUAGCGGUGAAAUGCUUAGAGAUCAUACAGAACACCGAUUGCGAAGGCAGAUUACCAAGCUACUUCUGACGUUGAGGCACGAAAGCGUGGGGAGCAAACAGGAUUAGAUACCCCAGUAGUC